rnacentral:rRNA from 1 species
UGGCGGACGGGUGAGUAACGCGUGGGUAACCUGCCUCAUACAGGGGGAUAACAGUUAGAAAUGACUGCUAAUACCGCAUAAGACCACAGCACCGCAUGGUGCAGGGGUAAAAACUCCGGUGGUAUGAGAUGGACCCGCGUCUGAUUAGGUAGUUGGUGGGGUAACGGCCUACCAAGCCGACGAUCAGUAGCCGACCUGAGAGGGUGACCGGCCACAUUGGGACUGAGACACGGUCCAA